AUUGAACACUGGCGGCAGGCUUAACACAUGCAAGUCGAGCGAGCGGCGGACGGGUGAGUAAUGUCUGGGAAACUGCCUGAUGGAGGGGGAUAACUACUGGAAACGGUAGCUCAUACCGCAUACCAUCAGAUGUGCCCAGAUGGGAUUAGCUAGUAGGUGGGGUAAUGGCUCACCUGGGCGACGAUCCCUAGCUGGUAUGAGAGGAUGACCAGACACACGGGAACAGAGACACGGUACAGACUCCGACGGGAGGCAGCAGUGGGGAAUAUUGCACAAUGGGCGCAAGCCUGAUGCAGCCAGGCCGCGUGUGUGAAGAAGGCCUUCGGGUUGUAAAGCACUUUAAGCGAGGAGGCGUUACUCGCAGAAGAAGCACCGGCUAACUCCGUGCCAGCAGCCGCGGUAAUAC
rnacentral:rRNA from 1 species